rnacentral:rRNA from 1 species
AUUGAACGCUGGCGGCAGGCCUAACACAUGCAAGUCGAGCGGAUGAAGGGAGCUUGCUCCUGGAUUCAGCGGCGGACGGGUGAGUAAUGCCUAGGAAUCUGCCUGGUAGUGGGGGAUAACGUCCGGAAACGGGCGCUAAUACCGCAUACGUCCUGAGGGAGAAAGUGGGGGAUCUUCGGACCUCACGCUAUCAGAUGAGCCUAGGUCGGAUUAGCUAGUUGGUGGGGUAAAGGCCUACCCAGGCGACGAUCCGUAACUGGUCUGGGAGGAUGAUCAGUCACACUGGAACUGAGACACGGUCCCGACUCCUACGGGGGGCCACAGGGGGGAAUUUUUGGAAAUGGGCGAAAGCCUGACCCAGCCACGCCGCGUGGGUGAAAAAAGGUUUCGGGUUUUUAAACCCUUUUAUUUGGGAAGAAAGAGUAGGAAAUUAACUCUUUGCUGCUUGACGGUACCCAACAAGAAAGCCACCGCUAACUUCGGG